rnacentral:tRNA from 1 species
GGGCGGGUAGCUCAGUUGGUAGUAGCACUUGGUUGAAGCCCAAGGUGUCAAUGGUUCAAGUCCAUUCUCGCCCACCA